CCCGGGCCUUGUACACACCGCCCGUCACACCAUGAGAGUCUGCAACACCCGAAGCCGGUGGCCCAACCCUUUUGGGAGGGAGCCGUCGAAGGUGGGGUCGGCGAUUGGGGUG
rnacentral:rRNA from 1 species